AAACCAUGAUGAGGGCACUGGUUGGUGUAACUCCUAAAGCGCUCCCAGGCUUCGUAGAAGCUUUCUCCAUUCUUUUGGGCAAAACCAGAUAUCUCAUAUCGGAGCCU
rnacentral:snoRNA from 1 species